rnacentral:rRNA from 1 species
AUACGAAGGUCCCAAGCGUUAUUCGGAAUCACUGGGCGUAAAGAGUACGUAGGCGGUUUGGUAAGUCAGGUGUGAAAUCCCGGAGCUCAACUUCGGAACUGCAUCCGAUACUGCUAGACUUGAGUAAUGGAGAGGCAGGUGGAAUUCUCGGUGUAGCAGUGAAAUGCGUGGAUAUCGAGAGGAAGACCAAUGGCGAAGGCAGCCUGCUGGACAUUUACUGAUGCUGAGAUACGAAGGCUAGGGUAGCGAAAGGGAUUAGAAACCCCAGUAGUCC